AAGGAGAGCAACAAAUGCAUCAGCUAUCAGGACUAAGGAUUUAGGGUUUGAACUCAAGAAUCAGAAAACAAGAAUAGACAAUGGAAUCGUCAAGCUCCAAUCCACCAUCUUACUUUGGCUGGUCCAUUUUUACAACACUUUGCUGCUGUUUGCCACUGGGAGUUGUUGCCAUCUUCUUCUCAAAUCAGGUUAACACCGCAAGCGCGGCAGGAGACACCACUAAAGCAGCGGAAGCAUCACGGAAAGCCAAACUUUUCAACAUAAUUGGAGUUGUCACCGGGGCCAUUUUUAUCAUAAUUAUUAUUAUCGUAUAUGCAAUUCAGCUCAGUGCUAUCGCAGCCAUUCAUUCACGUACGUGAUUCCUCUGCAAUAAAUAAGAGGACAAUUGCUUCACAAAAUCAAUGGUUUGCCAUACAGUAAAUGUCAUUAUUUACCCAGACUGAGAAGAGACUGAUUGAAAAUACCAUGAAUGACAUACCUAGAAAAAGAAAUGUGAAGUUGUUCCACUGUUCAAACACAACACCCCCAUAAAACAUUGUCUGUAUCAUCUGUGCGCAGGCUAGGGCUACUUCAUCAUGUUUUAUUGUAACAAAAGACAUGUAUUAACACGGAGAAGGAUGUCUGGAGUUAAAACAGUUGUGCUUUACAAUUUCCUCCUGUGUGAAUUUCCAAAAAGAAAAAUAAACCUCUAGGACAACUCCAAA